CCGGAGAUAGCUGGUUCUCCGCGAAAACUAUUUAGGUAGUGCGUUAUAUAUUACUGCCGGGGGUAGAGCACUGGAUGGGCUAGGGGGGCGCGAGCCUUACCAAACCUAACCAAACUCCGAAUACCGGUAAGUACAGUAUAGCAGACAGUCCAUGGGUGCUAAGGUCCUUGGACGAGAGGGAAAGAGCCCAGACCACCAGCUAAGGUCCCUAAGUUAUGGCUAAGUGGGAAAGGAUGUGGGAAGGCCAAGACAGCCAGGAGGUUGGCUUAGAAGCAGCCAUCCUUUAAAGAAAGCGUAACAGCUCACUGGUCUAAAUAAGCCGGCCUGCGCCGAAGAUUUAACGGGGCUAAAGCCAUACACCGAAGCUGUGGAUGCCGAAAGGCAUGGUAGCGGAGCGUUCUGUAAGCCGUUGAAGGUGACACGCGAGUGUCAUUGGAGGUAUCAGAAGUGAGAAUGCUGACAUGAGUAGCGAUAAAGAGUGUGAGAAACACUCUCGCCGAAAGCCCAAGGGUUCCUGCGCAAGGUUAAUCCACGCAGGGUUAGUCGGCCCCUAAGAUAAGUGCGAAAGCAGUAGUCGAUGGGAACACGGUUAAUAUUCCGUGACCUGAUGGUAGUGACGGAUGGUAUAAGUUGUAAAUGCUUAACGGAUUGUGUUUGCAGCGAAGCCGUUCCAGGAAAUAGCUCCAUCAUUAAGACCGUACCCUAAACCGACACAGGUGGGCAGGUAGAGAAUACCAAGGCGCUUGGGAGAAUGAUGUUGAAGGAACUCGGCAAAAUGCACCCGUAACUUCGGGAUAAGGGUGGCCUGCUCUGGGCAACCAGAUGCAGGUAGCAUAAAAUAGGGGGUAGCGACUGUUUAUUAAAAACACAGGGCUCUGCGAAGUGGUAACACGACGUAUAGGGUCCGACGCCUGCCCGGUGCUGGAAGGUUAAGAGGAGUUGUGCAAGCAGCGAAUUGAAGCCCCAGUAAACGGCGGCCGUAACUAUAACGGUCCUAAGGUAGCGAAAUUCCUUGUCGGGUAAGUUCCGACCUGCACGAAUGGCGUAACGACUUCCCCGCUGUCUCCAACAUCAACUCAGCGAAAUUGAAUUCCCCGUGAAGAUGCGGGGUACCCGCGGUCAGACGGAAAGACCCCGUGCACCUUUACUAUAGCUUUGCAGUGGCAUUAGAAAGCCGAUGUGCAGGAUAGGUGGGAGGCUUGGAACUCAUAGCGCCAGCUGUGGGGGAGCCAUCCUUGAGAUACCACCCUUCUGCUUUCUGAUGUCUAACCGAGGCCAGUUUAUCCUGGUCCGGGACCCUGCAUGGUGGGUAGUUUGACUGGGGCGGUCGCCUCCUAAAUGGUAACGGAGGCGCGCGAUGGUAGGCUCAAACCGGUCGGACAUCGGUUGUUGAGUGCAAUGGCAUAAGCCUGCCUGACUGUGAGACUGACAAGUCG
rnacentral:rRNA from 1 species